GUCCCUAUCGUCUAGCCUGGUCCAGGACACUGGCCUUUCAAGCCAGCGACACGGGUUCAAAUCCCGUUAGGGACGCCA
rnacentral:tRNA from 1 species